rnacentral:rRNA from 1 species
AGGACGAACGCUGGCGGCGUGCUUAACACAUGCAAGUCGAGCGGUAAGGCCUCUUCGGGGGUACACGAGCGGCGAACGGGUGAGUAACACGUGGGUGACCUGCCCUCAGCUCUGGGAUAAGCCUGGGAAACUGGGUCUAAUACUGGAUAUGACUGCGCAUCGCAUGGUGUGUGGUGGAAAGUUUUUUCGGCUGGGGAUGGGCCCGCGGCCUAUCAGCUUGUUGGUGGGGUGAUGGCCUACCAAGGCGACGACGGGUAGCCGG